rnacentral:misc_RNA from 1 species
CGGAGCACUUCUCUCCAAUCAACAAAUUUGUGUGUUAGAGCACUUCUCUCCAACUGACAAUUUUGGUGCACUUCUCACCAAUUGUUGAUGCACUUCUCACCAACCUUUGCUUUUGAUCUUCUUGGAGCACUUCUCUCCAAACUUCAUAAAAGAGAUUCUUCCUCUUGUGCUAAAUUUGCUUCUUCAUUUUUAAACCCGUAAUCUUUUAACAAAUGUCCAAAUUUUUUGCAAUUAAAACAUUGUGGUUUGCUUUUAUGCCGAUAAUUCUUUUCUUCAUGAUUAAAUUUUUUGCAAAUAACACAUUGUAAAAAUUUUUUCUUUGUGGAUGAUUUUGCUGCUAGAAAGGCUCCCUCAAUUGUUCCUUCUUGUCUGAUUGCUUUUCUUUGCUCCAUAGUCUGCAAAGUAUCGAUUAAUUCUGUAAUAGUUAUUUGUGAAAAAUUUGCAUGAACCUCAAGUGAGGAAAUUUUUUGCUCAAACUUCUCAGGGAGGCUAACAAAUAUUUUUUUCUAUAAUUCUUUUGUCAAGAAAUUCUUCACCAAGUAGUCUAAUUUUGUUGGCUAUGGACAUGAGCUUAGUGCAAUAGUUUUUGACAUUUUCAAACACUUUCAUUUUUUGAAUCUCAAAUUCUCUUUUGAGAUUUAAAAUUUGCAUGAACCUUGUUUGAUCAUUGCCUUCAUACACCUUCUUGAGCAAAUCCCAAGCUUUUUUUGCAUUUUCACAAGCCAUAAUCUUUAUGAAAAUGGUUUCAGAAACUGAAGAUUCUAUACAAGUUUUUGCCUUGUAUUUCUUAGCUCUCUUCUCAUUGUAAAUUUUAUUUGAGCAAGAGUUGGAUUUUCUAGUAGUGGAGUAGGAUCAGUAUUAUUUUCUACUGAAUCCCAUAAAUCAAAAGCUUAUAAAUAGGGCUUCAUUUUGAUAGCCCAUAUUUAAUAAUUUUCUCCUGAAAAUAUAGGGGUGAAGACAAGGAGAAAUUAGUUGAGACCAUUGAUGAAUCAAGGACUUAAAGGUUUGCUCAUAGGAUAACUGAGGCUUUGAUACCACUGUUGGAAUAAAAAAUUAAUGCGGAAGAAUAAAGAAUAUUUUUAUUGAAUAGAAAG